AGCUGGUCCUGCCCUCUGGGAACCGGGCUGUCUGGCUGAGCCUCCUCUUCUCUAUUUGGUUUUCUUCCUCUCCAAAGAAAAGGAAAAAAAAAGCCCAAAUGUGCACACUGCAUAAUUAUAGCGCCUGAAUUGCUUCACUCUGUGCCUGCGGUCUCCUGGGAGCCGGCGGUCAAUGAACUCCAAAGGCCACCGGGCCAGGCGAUGCUUUCCCGGGAACAUCAGGAACCGUCAGCAUCGGCUCCUCCUUGGGUCCUGGGUGCGAGUGCGGAACAACCACACUGCCUUCCCUGGUCCCUGGCGUGCGUUUGGAUCACACGCAACACGUGUGUGGUGUCAGGGGCCCAUGGAUCACCCUGGCACUCCCUGCAGCCUGGUGCCCGAGGGGCCUCCACCCGUUCCCCCUGUGAGAAGGGGUGGCUGGGCCAGCGCCUCCAGUGGGAGGAAACUGAGCCACACCUGCAGGGACCCGUCCUGAGCCACAGCUGGAGACGCCGUGGACCCCGGUCCACUUCCGGCCACCCGGGGUCCUGGGAACGGCUGCCGCUGGCUCUGGUUGGCACCGACCCUGAUGAAUGCUCUCUCAGCCCUGGGCCCAGUGUUUGCAGGAGCUCGGGCCGGGGCCAGCUGGAGCCUGGACUCUGAAUGAGCUCCUUUCUUCCCGGGCUCUGCUCCGCCCUGAUUUGCAUGACUAAUGCUUCGGCUUUUAUCCCCUGAAAUGAGUGUGUUUGUUGAUUCUUGACCCGCCUCCUACUGAGGGGCAAAUUAUCUGCCCACCAGGCAGGGGCUUGCAGGGAGCCCAGGCAGGGACAAUCCCAGGACAGCUCACCCAGCCCGGGGAGGGCAGCAGCGAGAUCACGGCCGCCCACCCCCCCACCGCAGACUUGCUGAGGUGAGUGGUGGAGGAGGACCGGGCGGGGGGAGGACGGAGGCAAGGAUCCUCUUCGUGCUGCAAAUCUGAUUUCAGGAACCACUCAAAAGCCUCUUCAUGCGAGGCUGCAGUGGCUGUGGGGAGAGAGAAGACGCUGCUCUCAGCUCCGUCCCCCCAGCGCCACCUGUUCAGUCACACGACUCAUCAUUUCCGCUUUGGUCGAAAUUCGAAAUGAAAUGAAAUCCGUAGCACAGCCGCCCUCGGAAACCCGCCGGGCGGUGGUGCAGCCUCGUGGCGAGCGAGACGAGCGAGACGAGCGAGACGAGCGAGACGAGCGAGCUGAUGCGGCCCCGAAAUGCGUGGCUGCUGGAGGCGACAUGAAGACAGGAGCUCCGUGGGCAAACCGUGGCACCUGCUGUCCCCGAAACUCAGCCAACCCCGCGUGAAAACACUGCAUACACAGAUUUGUUUAUUUGAAAGGCAGAGUUACAGAGAGGCAGAGGCAGAGAGAGAGAGAGAGAGAGAGAGAGAGAGGUCUUCCAUCUGCUGAUUCACUCUCCCAAUGGCCACAACUGCUGGAGCUGUGCCAAUCUGAAGCCAGGAGCUUCUUCCAGGUCUCCAGGUGGGUGCAGGGGCCCAAGGGCUUGGGCCUUCCUCCACUGCUGUCCCAGGCCACAGCAGAGAACUGGAUCAGAAGUGGAGCAGCCGGGACUUGAACUGGCGCCCAUAUGGGAUGCCGGCAGUGCAGGUGGCAGCUUUACCCACUCUGCCACAGCGCUGGCCCCCUGUCAGACACUCUUCCAAACAGAAAACACAUUGGAGAUUAAAUAAAAUAAACCUGUCCCUACUUUCAUUUUAAAAAAAAGUAUUGUUUUUGUGUAAAGUGUAUUUUCCUGGGGGCCGGCAUUGUGGCAUAGCCACAUCCCACAUGGGUGCCGUUCAAGUCCCAGCUGCUCCACUUCCGAUCCAGCUCCCUGCUAAUGCUCCUGGAAAGUCAGUGGAGGAUGGCCUUGGGCCCCUGCACCCAUGUGGGAGGCCCGGAUGGAGCCCCGGCUCUUGGUCCAGCCCCGGCCUGCAGGUUGUCCCAGAACCAGCCUUAAUAAGUCUGAUCCUUGCAAAGAAAGAAAACGUGGGGGGCGGAGGGGAGGCUGAAGCCCACUCCCACGACCUUUUCAACUGCCACACGACGUGGGCACUGCAAGCCACACUCAGGGGUGGAUGCCUCAGCCUUCUGUCCAGGGCACGUGGAGCCCACACUGCAAGACUUCCGGGCUGUCGGCUGAUGUCCGAGGACAUCGGUAGGUCACCUCUUCCUUUAGCCACGUGAGCACUGAGCCACCCUGGCUCCUGCCCACUCACAGGGAUUUGCAUGCAAAUCUCACACUCAGAAUAACUUCACAGCUGGGUGCGGGGGCCGCGGGGCGAGGUUCCUGACCAGGUGCCAAGCCGUUUAGCUGUGCGCGCGAUGCCUGUCACAGACUCCCAUCUAACCAUCCGCACUGCCGCGCGGGGAAGGGAUGCUAUCGACUGAUCACCCGGCAGCCUAAAAUUAGACGGUUUUAGCAAAAUGUGGGAAGCGGAGAGCAGCCUCCCCAGCUGCAGCCAGUAGCGCUCUCUGAGCUGUGGCCCCGAGCCGGGCCCUGUGCCCACGGGGGCUGCAAGUGAGCAACACGAAUCACGCCCCGGACUCACAGCGCUGGCCAGGAGGGAAACACCACCACCAGAAAGGCGGCCCGGGAUGAGGGCUGCUGGUUAAGUCUGCAGGCACCGAGCUAAGCCCACCAGGGCACCGCGAAGGGAGUUUUAAAGCCGGGAUGGACAGUUCAGAAGGGCACAAGGCAUUGGGAAGUGAGAUGGGGCGGGGCAGGACGGACUAUUUGCAGACACUGGAAAUAAGCGGCGUUCCUGUUUGCAGCAUUGGCCUGGGGUGCAAAUUCCUCUCUCCCUGUGACUCAGGAACAAAAAGCCUCAAACACCCAGAGCAGGGGCUGCAGUCCAAGGGCCACUUCUGCAGCCGGGGCGCUAGGAGCAGGCAGGCUCGGGACCCUGAUGGCGGAGUCGGGGGUCAUUCAUUCGUCAGCCUCGUGCCCUGGCCCUACCCUGGGGCCCCAGGACACAGCUGUCCACGUCGCAGACGUGCGGACCAUGGCGAUGGACCAGGGCUGGGGACUCUUUGGGGUCAUCACAAGAGGAGCUCUGAGCACGGGCUGGCGCCCCACAAAGACCCCAACCCGGUAGGGUCUGCCCACCGGCUGCUUCUGGGGAACGGAGCCCCACCCAGGCCACCGCUGUGUGCCUGUGACCUGGCAUUCGCUGCCACGUGUCUGCUGUCAGAGACCCCCCCCCCACAUCAGCAGGAUCUCCUGGGUGACACCCCUGGGCACCUCUCCUGGAUGCCUGCGCGGCCCUUCAGGCUGCCGGCCACCAGCUCCGGGGUCGCCACCUGCUCCCACUCGUGUUCAGUCCCCCGGGACUAUGGCCUGGCCCUAUCCAGACUAAAGGGUUUUCACCAGAAGGGAAAGACACAGCCGGGGGUGGUGAGCAGCCCCCCAACACCUGCCGUGUCCAGUCCCCCCACGCAGGGUCCGCCCAAGGAUUGUGGAUUCGGGGUGUCUGUGUGGAGCCAGGUGUAGACUUGGCAGCACACGGUUGAGGCUCAGAGCUCAGCCCUGUCCCUCCCACAUUCACCAGACCAGCCUCUGUGCUGCCAUUUCCCGUCUACACCCGGGGAUGGCGACAGCGGGACUGCAGUGAGGCCCGAGGGAGGGAGGCGUCGGCCCAGCACAGGCGGAGCUGGGAGGCUGGGCGGAGUCAGCAGGUGCCCUGGGGUCUGAGCCAGAGCACGCUAAUCAUUUUGCUCGUGGCAGAACGGGCGGCCACCCACCGCUCAGCCUAGGACACGUGGCGGGUAUGACAGCAAACGCCAGGGUGCCCUUUACUGUAAACCUCAAAGCUGGAACCUGGGCGGGGGUAAAGGCUACCGCAGAGGGGCCGGUGCUGUGGCGUAGCGGGUAAAGCCGCCGCCUGCAGUGCCAGCAUCCCAUAUGGGCACCGGUUCAAGUCCCAGCUGCUCCACUUCUGAUCCAGCUCUCUGCUAUGGCCUGGGAAAGCAAUGGAAGAUGGCCCGAGUCCUUGGGCUCCUGCACCCACGUGGGAGACCCAGGAGAGGCUCCUGGCUCCUGGCUUCAGAUUGGUGCAGUUCUGGCUGUUGUGGCCACUGGGGAGUGAACCAGUGGAUGGAAGACCUCUCUCUCCCUCUCUCUCUCUCUCUCUCUCUGACUCUCUGUAACUCUGCCUUUCAAACCAGGAGGGACCUUGUAGCUGUUGCCAUGGUUACACACCAGGGCUCCAAUCCGCUGGAGCUGGGUUCAACACCCAGCCCCACCACUCACCCCUGUGUGUCCUCGUGCAGGUUUCCCAACCUGACCAAACCUCUGAGUGCUCAUCUGUAGCUUGGGGCUAAUGAUGUAGAGUGGUGGGAGGAAUACGUUUCCUAACCCAGCCGUCCGCCCGCACAUGAUCGUCGUCCGACGGUCAGCACCCAGGCCCAGGACAGCCUGGGAGCCUGCAGGCUGGAGAUGUGUGAGGCGGUGCAGGGGAGGGGGAAGCCCACGCAGCCACCCUGAGCCCCGCAGGGCCGUGGCUGAGGAGGAGCGGGGGUGUCUGUGGGCCUGUCCCUCAGCACCUUGUCGGGGUGCAUCCCCGCAGCUUUGCUCUGUGCAGGGGAUGCCCCUCCCAGGCUCCGGGCCUGCAGCCAGUGUGAGGCUCUGGCCUUGGCCAAUGCGUCGUCCCGAGCGCCCCACCGCAAGGCCCUCUACAAGCCUGGCGUCUGCUCUGUCCCCUGUGCCCUUAGCGGCCCCUCCCCAGCCGCCCAGAGGCCCGGGGCUGGGGGCGCGUCGGGUGCGCGCUGCCUUGGACCCCAUCCCGCCCAGCAAAUCCCACCAGGAUUCCAGGACAGCAGGGCGAGCGCUGGGAGGGGAGCGAGCCGUCACAGUCAAUACGCGGAGGGCGUGAGUAAAAGACAAGCCUGGCUGGCAGCGAACAUCGCUUUUAAUUGAGCCCAUGCCUACAUUUUUACACGCGACAAGGAAAUUAGUGACAGUGCGAGAAGCCUCGGAGAAAAAUUAAUUAGCCCUGCUGCCCAGCCCUCUGCCUGCUCGCUGCUCAGCCUGUGCCUCCCCCCUCCCACCCCACACACACACCCAGCGCAGCCGGCUGCACAUGCGCAGCUGUGGCCCCCACAGCACCCCCAGCCCUCCCCCCACUCCCCGCCCAGGACCAGGGCACAGGGUGGGCUUCCGAGGGAGGGGGCGCCAGGCAUGAGAGGGGCCUGGGCGUGCCUGGUGCACACACACGGCACCCAGGAGCAGGGCCAGCGGGGGAGGGGGGGGCAGAAACAGGAGCCUGUCCCUGGGGGCUGCGAGCCUAUCUGGUGAUCAGGGCUGGGAUGCCCCUCCAGCCCUGGCUCCCCCACCCCCGGCUCUCCCUCACUCCUGAUUGGGUGACUCCGUGAGUCCCAGCAUCUCCAUCCGUGCUCCGGGACGCUGGUGGCUGUGACCCUCGUGCCUGACCCCGGCCAGUGCUGUCCUGCACACCCGGGGUCACACCUGGGACCGAGGAGGCCUGAGUGCCCGAGGAAAUGACCUUGAGCUGCUCCUGCCUGCUUGCCCCCUGGGGUCUCGAGGCGAGACCGGUCAGCAUUCCCCCUGGGGGACCCACGUUUACUAAGGCUCAGAGACCUGGCGGCCACGUGUCCCACAGCGUCCCCGCCCCAUGCACAGCAGCACCCUCCACGCGCCCAGGCGGCUCCCAACAGCAGACACGGGCGCCCUGAACCUGCAGAGCGGAGCCCCAAGUUCAGCCGGGAAAGGGAAUUUGCGGGAAACCUUUGCCAGGCGGAGCGGUGGCUGCCGGGGGCCUGGCUGCCUGGCAUCCUCUCCGAGUCGCAGCCAGGUGGGGGGCAGGGCGCCCCUCGGCCUCGGAGGACCCCGCGUCUGCACCCAGCUGUGGAGUCUGCAGCCGAUUUCACGGGCAUUUAGGGAGGCCGCGGGAGGCCGUGGCUUAGCGUGUCCCCUUCUAAUUAAAGGACAGCGGCCACUUGUUCCCCGUCAGAGCUCACAAAGGACGAUUGCUCCAGGCCCCGGGCAGCUGGCGGGAGGGCGUCAGGUGCCAAAAUCCGGCGCCUGCCACCUGGCAUUCUUGGGAACUGGCCUUUUAAGGAGACGGGCCUUGUGAGGAGAUGGCCUGUCCCCCCAACCCCCAGCUGCCUCUGGGGGUCAGCUCUGCCCUCUGGGGGUCGGUUCUGCCCUCUGGGGGCAGAGGGCGAGGUCCUGACACCCCCCGGCCUUGCCUGGUAGAGCCGGGAGCUGGGCCCUGUGGGCCGGGGUAGAAGCGCCUGCCCUGUGCCGCCCACCUGCCAGCAGCCAGGACAGCCCUGGGAAAACGGACGCCACCACCCUCUCCAGGCCCGGAGCUGAGCCCCGUCACAUCCCUGUCCCCGCUCCUCCCCAGAGCCCUCCUGGGCCACCCAGCUGGAGGGGACACGGCGGCUCCCUGGCCCCCACAGCCUGCGCAGCGUGAGCUCCGGGGCGGUCACCUCGCACGCGUGUGGUCUGCGGAGGCGCCCUCAGCCCCAGGAGGGAAGCGUCCUCGGCUCACUGGCCUGUCGCCCCCACCCCAGGGCAUUCUGGGAAGAACGGCUGCUCCUCUCCAAGGCCAGAGGUCACGCGGUCUUGCUGUGCUGUGCUCCCAGGGCCCCAGAGCAGCCGGCCGACCGCCUUGUCUGUCCCUCUCGGUGUUGGGUGUUUGGCAGGAAACGCGCCUCCCAUGGCAACACGGAAAGCCAUGGCGCUCACAGAGAACCAGAUUCCCUGACUCCAAGGCGCCAGCAGCGGGGCCCCGGCCACAGUGCCCAGAGCAGCGACUGCUGGAGCCAGGUCCCGGCUGCCCUGAGAUGGGCUUGUUCUCUCCACCGCGCCUGCCGCAGUCUCCCCCUCCCCAGUGCCCCCGACGGAGGCCCAGGCUCUGUGCCCCACGCUGCGGCUGUGCUGUCCACAUGUGCUGUGCUGUGCGACCCUGGGCAAGCGCCUCUGCCGUCCUGGGCCUGCUCCCCCUGAGGAUGGGAACAGCAGCAGACCCGCCCCCAGGCCCAGCAGCAGACCCGCCCCCAGGCCCAGCAGCAGACCCGCCCCCAGGCCCAGCAGCAGACCCGCCCCCAGGUCCAGCAGCAGACCUGCCCCCAGGCCCAGCAGCAGACCCGCCCCCAGGUCCAGCAGCAGACCCGCCCCCAGGCCCCGGUGUCCGGAGCAGGAGCCGGAACCUGUGAGGACCAGGUCUGGAGGUGCAGGUGGCUCCGGGAGCCCGGCCGCUGCCUGCCCGGGUCUCCCCUGCCUCCUGCACAUGUCCCAUGCAGGGCCCUGUGGUGUCUGGGCUUGGGGACCUGCUGUGCGUGGAAAUGAGCCCGACCUCCUCCCCCAGCCUCUGUCAGCCCCAGCCCGGCCCAGCCCCACGACCCCUGCGGUCCACAGCCCCCCAGCAAGGGCCCUGUCCCUGGAGACCCCUCGGCCACCACGGCCGGCUUCUCUAACGUCUCCUACCUGGGCUUCAAUCCCCUGAGCCGCCAGGGCCGU